GACGAACGCUGGCGGCGUGCUUAACACAUGCAAGUCGAACGAAGUGGCGAACGGGUGAGUAACGCGUAAUCAACCUGCCCUUCAGAGGGGGACAACAGUUGGAAACGACUGCUAAUACCGCAUACUGAAGGAGGGGAUUGCGUCUGAUUAGCUAGUUGGAGGGGUAACGGCCCACCAAGGCGAUGAUCAGUAGCCGGUCUGAGAGGAUGAACGGCCACAUUGGGACUGAGACACGGCCCAGACUCCUACGGGAGGCAGCAGUAGGGAAUCUUCGGCAAUGGACGAAAGUCUGACCGAGCAACGCCGCGUGAGUGAAGAAGGUUUUCGGAUCGUAAAACUCUGUUGUUAGAGAAGCGGUAUCUAACCAGAAAGCCACGGCUAACUACGUGCCAGCAGCCGCGGUAAUAC
rnacentral:rRNA from 1 species